rnacentral:rRNA from 1 species
AUUGAACGCUAGCGGCAUGCUUAACACAUGCAAGUCGAACGAGUGGCGGACGGGUGAGUAAUAUAUGGGAACGUGCCAGUAGCGGGGGAUAACUACGGAAAGAGUAGCUAAUACCGCAUACCAUUGGGGCGGCCCAUCUGGGAUUAGGUAGUUGGUGGGGUAAAGGCUCACCAAGUCGACGAUCGGUAGCUGGUCUGAGAGGAUGACCGGCCACACUGGGACUGAGACACGGCCCAGGCGCCUACGGGAGGGAGCAGUGGGGAAUAUGGCACAAUGGGCGCAAGCCUUAUGCAGCCAUGGCGCGUGUGUGAAGAAGGCCUUGGGGUUGUAAAGCACUUUCAGCGGGGAGGGUUACUGCAGAAGAAGCACCGGCUAACUCCGUGCCAGCAGCCGCGGUAAUAC